GCCCGUGCUCCGGGGUGUACGCGCCAGCGUGCUGAGAUCCAGACCCGUGAACUUGAACCGGUUCAAACCGGCGUAAGGAGAGCACCUGCCGCAGCC
rnacentral:ncRNA from 2 species